CUCACCUUGAAGUUGCCUCGAUAGUUGAGGUAGAGCGGCUCGAAGAAGUCGUGCGGCUUGGACACGUACGUGCUCAGCUGGAGUGUUUUCAGGAACAACCUGGGAAGACACACGUGCAGCUGUACCUAAUAUAUUGACGGACUCGACCAGGGCUUGGCGUUGGAAGAUGGCGCUCAAAGGGGGCACGUUUGAGUUUUCAAAAUGGCAGCUUCAAACCCUUUUGUAUCCUUUGGCUUUCAACACAUCAUGAGCUCCCUUGUGUUAAUGUUUUAAUAUUUGUAACUUUGUGACUGUUUGAUUGUUGUUAAUUGUUGUGUCUUUUGUUCGAUUGCUAUUCAUGUGCAGCACUUUGUUUCGGCUGUGGUUUGCUUUGUAAAGUGCGCCAUGAAUAAAGUUGAGUCGGGUGUUGCAUUUGCAGAACUGCGGCGUGUGACUUCCUGUCAAGCGAAGCGUGCUUCCCUUCUAAGCGCAGUGUGCGCGCGCGUGCGUGCGUGCGUGCAUGUGUGUGUGUGUGUGUGUGUGUGUGUGUGUGGUUUCUCGCUCUGCAGGUGGUGAUGCCGGGAAAGGGCAAAGCUGAAGCGGUGAGGAGAAACAUCACCACCAUCAUCAUCAUCAUCCUCCGCCGUGUACGGGAGCCUAAUAAAUGAAGUCAGUUGGAGAAAAGCCAGCAAAUCCCCGUGUUUGUUUGAGUACUCACGGUUUUCGAGAGCAACCCAGCAGCAGCGCGGCGGCGGCGGCGGCGACGACGACGGCUAGCAGGACGUACAGCCAGGAUCCUUUCGCUAAUGCGCAGGAGGAAAUCAUCAGGCAAUUCAAAGGUGUGCCUUUAAGGGGCGUGGCCAAGUGAGACAUCAAGACUGCAAGUCCGGUUGACCCAACUUGGGCGGUUGGACUUCACUUCAGGGCGUACCCCGCCUCUCGCCCGAAGAUAGCUGGGAUAGGCUCCAGCACGACCGCGGCCCGCGUGAGGAUAAACAGUUCAUCCGGAAGCAUCUUAACCUGCCUUCCUGUCAACCACAAGUCCCGGUCUGCAGUUUGGGCUUACCCACGUCGUAGAGCGCCCAGGUGGACAACUCGCUCUCCGGGCCGCCCCGUCGGCCGACCGUCGCCGUGCAUUCGGUCCCGACGACGGCGACGUCGUAGAGCGCCGGCGGGUACAUGACGCACCAGGACUGAGGAGGCGUCACCGGGCAGCUGCCGGCCACGUGGAGCUCGCCGUCGCUACGAAAGCACAAGCAGCUUGUGGAAGAUGACUUUGGAAAUGUAGCUAGUUACCAGUUGUAAUAGUACAGGUACAUCUCAUUAAAUCAGAAUAUAUUUCUCGUAAUUUAUUGAGAUGACAUUCCUCAAUAAAUUGUGCAAAAGAAGCCUGCAGAUGACUAUAGAUGUAUUGUUUUCAAAUUUGUAGCGGAACAUUUUCCAGCUAAUAAAGUACAUCUUCAGUCAGCCUCUGUUCCAGAAUUUAUUUAGUUAUGUCAUAUCAAUAAAUUAGAAUCAAUAUAUCCAAAUGUAUUGAGAUGGACCUGUUUGUACUAGUAUGCAGCCAGGUCAGCAUCGCAACUGAGAAUGUGUUCUCAGUGGCCAAAACAUUUCAAUAAAAUGCAUCAUAACUCA